rnacentral:rRNA from 1 species
GACGUAGGGUGCGAGCGUUGUCCGGAUUUAUUGGGCGUAAAGCGCACGUAGGCGGCGAUUCAAGUCAGAGGUGAAAGCCCGGGGCUCAACUCCGGAACUGCCUUUGAAACUAGAUUGCUAGAAUCUUGGAGAGGCGAGUGGAAUUCCGAGUGUAGAGGUGAAAUUCGUAGAUAUUCGGAAGAACACCAGUGGCGAAGGCGACUCGCUGGACAAGUAUUGACGCUGAGGUGCGAAAGCGUGGGGAGCAAACAGG